rnacentral:rRNA from 1 species
AUCUGAAAGGUAAAGGACUUACUCUUCGGAGUGAGAGCGUACACAGGUGCUGCAUGGCUGUCGUCAGCUCGUGUCGUGAGAUGUGGGUUAAGUCCCGCAACGAGCGCAACCCUGCAUUCAGUUGCCAUCGGUAAGGCCGGGCACUCUGGAUGGACUGCCGGCGACAAGCCGGAGGAAGGUGGGGACGACGUCAAGUCAUCAUGGCCCUUAUGUCCAGGGCGACACACGUGCUACAAUGGCCGGCACAACGGGAAGCGAAGGGGCGACCCUGAGCGGAUCCCACAAAAGCCGGUCUCAGUUCGGAUUGCAGUCUGCAACUCGACUGCAUGAAGUUGGAAUCGCUAGUAAUCGUGGAUCAGCCAAGCCGCGGUGAAUACGUUCCCGGGCCUU